CAGGCCUGCCUUUUUCUCUCUGA
rnacentral:piRNA from 1 species